GCAGAAUUAUCCACGAGUUUUGAGCAGCCUCGGUUUUCCCACCACCUCCAAACCAUGCAAGACACAGGGUAAGAGCAAAGACAAGGUGGCUGUGGCCGAUGUCCACCCUCUCGGGGCGUCCUUUCUCUUCUCUCCUCCUUGGGCAGGGAGACCAUCGGGGUGCAACCUGGCUGGGGCGGGGAGGAGGUGCAGGGCCUGGCCGGAGCGGGCCUGGCCACGGCCAGGGGACAGCGACCGCCUAGGCCGGGGCAGGUGAGCGCGGCGCAGGCCCCGGCACGGCGUUUCCGCGGUGCGCGCGAGCGGCCAGCAGAGGGCGCCAGAGAGCCAGGAGCGGCCCACGGAGGAGCCCGCGCCGGCCCCGACGCCCAGCUCCGCGCCGCGCAGACCCACCGAGCCCGCGCUCAGACGCCCCAGCUCCGACGAGAGGCCGCUCGCGCCGGGUCCUUCCUCUUCCCCAAGUGCAGGCAGAGCCCCCGGAGCAAUGGCCAGUCCUUCCGGCAGCUCCGAAGACACUGGCAAGCCCCGAGGCAGGGAUGGCCGGCCCAGGAGGGAGGAGGACGACGUCCCUUCCGAGGGGAAGAGGCUGCGGCUGUUGCUGGAGGGGGGGAAGCGCACAGCCCGAGGACUGCGAGGACGGGGAGGACGCGCCGCGGCCGGGCAGGGAGGAGACCGGCACCCAGACAGGUGGCGACGGCAGAGGAGUGGUCAUUUUUCUUCUUGUGGCCUCUGGAAUGUGACACAGAACUCAAGGGACAGGAAGGAGAUGGGUUGGAGGCUGGGACAGGGGUCCCUGCCAGGGAUGCUGGUGACUCACAUGACAGUGUUGAUGUGUGGAGUCCAGUGCCUGGUUUGGGGAAUGUUUGUGGGAUAUGUUCCAAAGCACUGAUAGACCUAUCAGGCGCAGUGGUUCACACCUGUAAUCCCAGCACUUUGGGAGGCCGAGGCUGGCAGAUCACCUAAGGUCAGGAGUUCGAGACCAGCCUGGCCAACAUGGCGAAACUGUAUCUACCAAAAAAAAAAAAACAGAAAUUAGCCAGGUGUUAUUGCACACACCUGUAAUCCCAGCUACUUGGGAGGCUGAGGCAGGAGAAUCGUUUGAACCUGGGAGACAGAGGUUGCAGUCAGCCGAGAUUGCACCACUGCACUUCAGCCAGCCUGGGUGACAGAGCGAGACUCUGUUUCAAAAAUAAAUAAAUAAAUAAAAUAGAAUUCUGAAUUUUAUUUUUAAUAA
rnacentral:sRNA from 1 species